rnacentral:rRNA from 1 species
UACGUAGGUGGCAAGCGUUGUCCGGAAUUAUUGGGCGUAAAGAGCUCGUAGGCGGUUUGUCGCGUCGACUGUGAAAGCCCGGGGCUCAACUCCGGGUCUGCAGUCGAUACGGGCAGACUAGAGUUCGGUAGGGGAGACUGGAAUUCCUGGUGUAGCGGUGAAAUGCGCAGAUAUCAGGAGGAACACCGGUGGCGAAGGCGGGUCUCUGGGCCGAUACUGACGCUGAGGAGCGAAAGCGUGGGGAGCAAACAGG